rnacentral:rRNA from 1 species
CUACCUGAUGACCGAUAGUGAAGCAGUACCGUGAGGGAAAGGUGAAAAGAACCCCGGGAGGGGAGUGAAAUAGAACCUGAAACCGUGUGCCUACAACCGGUCAAAGCCCCUUAUGAGGGUGAUGACGUGCUUUUUGUAGAACGAGCCAACGAGUUACGGUAUGUAGCAAGGUUAAGUACUUAAGGUACGGAGCCGAAGGGAAACCGAGUCUUAAUAGGGCGACUAGUUGCAUGCCGUAGACCCGAAACCGGGUGACCUAUCCAUGGCCAGGUUGAAGCGGGGGUAAAACCCCGUGGAGGACCGAACCACGUUGCUGUUGAAAAAGCAUGGGAUGAGCUGUGGAUAGCGGAGAAAUUCCAAUCGAACUCGGAGAUAGCUGGUUCUCCUCGAAAUAGCUUUAGGGCUAGCGUCGGAUAUGAGUAGUGGAGGUAGAGCACUGAAUGGGCUAGGGGGCAUAGCGCUUACCGAACCUUAUCAAACUCCGAAUGCCACAUACUAUUAGUCCGGCAGUCAGACUGCGAAAGAUAAGUUCCGUAGUCAAAAGGGAAACAGCCCAGAUCGUCAGCUAAGGUCCCAAAGUGUAAGUUAAGUGGAAAAGGAUGUGGGAUUUCUAAGACAACUAGGAUGUUGGCUUAGAAGCAGCCACUCAUUAAAAGAGUGCGUAAUAGCUCACUAGUCGAGAGAUCCUGCGCCGAAGAUGUCCGGGGCUCAAACUUACCACCGAAGCUACGGGUUCACACUUAUGUGUGAGCGGUAGAGGAGCGUCGUAAUCGGGCUGAAGUCGUACCGUAAGGAGCGGUGGACUGAUUACGAGUGAGAAUGUUGGCAUUAGUAGCGAGAUGUGGGUGAGAAUCCCACAGGCCGAAUAUCUAAGGUUUCCUCAGGAAGGUUCGUCCGCUGAGGGUUAGUCGGGACCUAAGCCGAGGCCGAAAGGCGUAGGCGAUGGACAAUCGGUUGAUAUUCCGAUACCACUACUGAUCGUUAUUAUCGAUGGUGUGACGGAGAAGGAUAGAGUGUGCUAGCUAUUGGAUGCUAGUCUAAGCGUUUAGGGAGUUAGGAAAGGCAAAUCCGUCCUAACAAUUCUGAGGCGUGAUGGGGAAGGUUCUACGGAACCGAAGUACUUGAUUCCAUGCUUCCAAGAAAAGCAUCUAGAGAGAGAUGUAGUGCCCGUACCGCAAACCGACACAGGUAGAUGAGGAGAGAAUCCUAAGGCCGGCGGAAGAAUCACAGUUAAGGAACUAGGCAAAUUGACCCCGUAACUUAGGGAGAAGGGGUGCCUGCGAGAGCAGGCCGCAGAGAAUAGGCCCAAGCAACUGUUUAGCAAAAACACAGGUCUCUGCUAAAGCGAAAGCUGAUGUAUAGGGGCUGACGCCUGCCCGGUGCUGGAAGGUUAAGGGGAACACUUAGCGCAAGCGAAGGUGUGAACUUAAGCCCCAGUAAACGGCGG